rnacentral:piRNA from 1 species
CGCGGUGGAGGAGGGAGACGGGU